rfam:Sarcophilus harrisii ctg7180001510092, whole genome shotgun sequence.
AGUUCUAGGCAGUGGCAGUAUCAAAGUCAAUGAGGUCUAACCAAGGCACAAUUAUUGCUGAUUGAAAACUCAGAUAAAAAGUUCACCUUUACUUCUAAGGAGACUGAAAAUGGAGUCAUUGAAUAAUAAAGAAUAAA